GACGAACGCUGGCGGCACGCCUAACACAUGCAAGUCGAACGGACUUAAAAGAGCUUGCUUUUUUAAGUUAGUGGCGGACGGGUGAGUAACACGUGAGCAACCUGCCUCUGAGAGGGGGAUAGCUUCUGGAAACGGAUGGUAAUACCCCAUAAAAUAUAAAUAUCGCAUGAUAGAUAUAUCAAAGAAAUUCGCUCAGAGAUGGGCUCGCGUCUGAUUAGAUAGUUGGUGAGGUAACGGCUCACCAAGUCGACGAUCAGUAGCCGGACUGAGAGGUUGAACGGCCACAUUGGGACUGAGACACGGCCCAGACUCCUACGGGAGGCAGCAGUGGGGAAUAUUGCACAAUGGAGGGAACUCUGAUGCAGCGAAGCCGCGUGGAGGAAGAAGGUUUUCGGAUUGUAAACUCCUUUUAUCAGGGACGAUAAUGACGGUACCUGAAGAAAAAGCUCCGGCUAACUACGUG
rnacentral:rRNA from 1 species